GCUCAUUCGGUAAGGAGCAACCGAGAUGGGCUGGGUACUUGGCUGUAAGUCUAUGGUGAACUCGACCUCUCUGUCCACUGGUAGACAGGGCAGUUCAUCUGGAAAUACGUCUGAAAAGUCUCGGACUACUGGAAUCUCUUGGAUACAAACUUCUUUCUUGGGUUUACCUAGUUAGAGAAAAUACAAGAUUAAGGCACUGGGAAUUAAGGAAAACUUGCCAUCAGGGGAAAUCAGUACUGAAUGAUUUUAUUAACUUG
rnacentral:lncRNA from 1 species